ensembl:lncRNA
AGAGCAAAGAUACCCUCAGGAGGAGGAUGUUUAGGCUAGAGGGGAAAAGAAAAAAUCAGCCAUGUUUGCAAAAUGAUGCAAAAAGAGUAGCAAAGAAAAAAAAACGUACACUCCAACUCAGUCCCCAUCUCACUCCAAAACGUCCUCAUCAUCUGAUCAAGAGCCUCCAGUCAAACAUCAAGUCAUCCACCGAAAGGACAGUAUGUUAAUGCAAGAGAUUAACAGCAUGGAGAGUCAAGCUGGAGAGCAUUCAAGCCGAGAAACUCAACUUGAGAGAGAAAUUCUCAAAUUAAAAAAAGAAAAUGAGAAUCUAAGAGCACUUAAUAUAGCUCUGCAACAAGAAAUUCUUCCAAUGCUCAAGUGCAGCAUGAACCAGGACACUCUUGUUGCUCAACAACCACAAGUUGCUCAACAACCACAAGAUUCAAGUCAGAAGAAUCCCCCUGAAAAGAGACACGGGCUAGGAAUUAGUUCAGCUGUCCUGACAAGUUGUGGACGGGGGGGGCACAUCAUGUUCUGCCAUGGUGAAAGAUCUGGCAGUGGCAGUGUUUGGGAGAGAGACACUGGCCACACAUGGGCUGUCUGGAAGGGCUGGCAAUGCUAACACAGGCGCUUUGGCAAAGCCAGCUCUUGACCAGGACAAAGUUGUGCUGAUCCUAGGUGAGAAAAAUGUCCUGCUUUUUUUCUUUACGCAAACAUGAUGUUGCAGUUAUAGUGCAAAAUUGUAAUAAUGUUAUCACAUAUGAUAAGUGGAAUUGCUUUUACAAAAACAGUACAAAAAAAGUUCCCUGAUGUUCCAAAAAAGUUCAUCAGGGCAACACUAAGAGAAAAGUUAAAUGAUAAGCACAAGUUACGAGUAAGGUAAUAAUUUGUCAUACACACAACACACUCGCUCAUGCGCUUUCUCUCUCUCUCUCACCUCACACACCCUCAUGCUCUCUCACACACAAACACAUACUCAUGCUCUCCCGCUCUCUCUCUCUCUCUCUCUCUCACACACACACACACACAGACACGUUAAUGAUCUCUCUUUCUCUAUCUCUCACACACACACACACACACACACACACAUACACACACACACACACACACACACACACACACACACACAAACAAAUUUUUAAAUUUCUCUUUUUUUCUUGUUUUUCAGGAAAACAGUGUAGAGGCUUCAUUUGGCUGUGAAUUGGUCUCUGCUUCGCUCUGCUCUUACAGUUUCAAUAAAUACAAUAAAUAAUUUGUGAAAAUACAUUGUUUGUUGUGAAGUUAUUCCCCCUGCAUUAAUCCUACAGAAGACAUAAGAAGACCUGUAUAAUUGCAUAUACAGGUCCUUCUCAAAAAAUUAGCAUAUUGUGAUAAAAGUUCAUUAUUUUCCAUAAUGUAAUGAUAAAAAUUAAACUUUCAUAUAUUUUAGAUUCAUUGCACACCAACUGAAAUAUUUCAGGUCUUUUUAUUGUUUUUAAUACUGAUGAUUUUUGGCAUACAGCUCAUGAAAACCCAAAAAUUCCUAUCUCAAAAAAUGAGCAUAUCAUGAAAAGGUUCUCUAAACGAGCUAUUAACCUAAUCAUCUGAAUCAACUAAUUAACUCUAAACACCUGCAAAAGAUUCCUGAGGCUUUUAAAAACUCCCAGCCUGGUU